rnacentral:rRNA from 1 species
UACGUAGGGCGCAAGCGUUGUCCGGAAUUAUUGGGCGUAAAGAGCUCGUAGGCGGCCAGUUGCGUCCGCUGUGAAAUCCCGGGGCUUAACCCCGGGCGUGCAGUGGAUACGGGCUGGCUGGAGGCAGGCAGGGGAGAACGGAAGUUCCUGGUGUAGCGGUGAAAUGCGCAGAUAUCAGGAGGAACACCGGUGGCGAAGGCGGUUCUCUGGGCCUGUACUGACGCUGAGGAGCGAAAGCGUGGGGAGCGAACAGG